rnacentral:rRNA from 1 species
CUUAACACAUGCAAGUCGAACGAGGUGAUUGAAAGCUUGCUUUUGAGAACCGAGUAGGCAAACGGGUGAGUAACGCGUAGACAACCUGACCGCAAAGAUGGGGACAACAGUCCGAAAGGACUGCUAAUACCGAAUGUUGUCAGAUUCCCGCAUGGGAGACUGAUUAAAGAUGGCCUCUACUUGUAAGCUAUCGCUUUGCGAUGGGUCUGCGUCUGAUUAGCUAGUUGGUGGGUAACGGCCUACCAAGGCGACGAUCAGUAGCCGGUCUGAGAGGAUGAACGGCCACAUUGGAACUGAGACACGGUCCAGACUCCUACGGGAGGCAGCAGUGGGAAUCUUCCGCAAUGGGCGAAAGCCUGACGGAGCAACGCCGCGUGAGUGAAGAAGGGUUUCGGCUCGUAAAGCUCUGUUGACGGGACGAAUGUGCAAGAUGCAAAUAGUUCUUGCAAUGACGGUACCCGUCGAGGAAGCCACGGCUAACUACGUGCC